CACUGGCCCACAAGACUAGAGAACCUUCGGAGUUAUAAAUCCUAGCUCUGGAAAACAUUCUGUUGACAGUAAUCCUUCUCAAGAGUACUCAAGAUGAAUGGAUUCUUUUAAAAGCACACAGACUCCUAGAAGGAAGAGCACUAGGUAAGAUGACGUGCACCUGCCCCUGCCCACGACGUCAAUAAUACAGAAAAUGGAGCCGAGAAAUGGAGGAAGACUGUGUCCUGACAAUGUUGG